UAUAUAUAUAUAUAUCUGUACAUACACACCUCUCUCUCCAGCACCCUGGCUAGCACACUGAGGAAAAGGUUACAGCAGUUACAUCUGCUAUAAAUCUUCAUGCUAGAUGUCCGAUUUCUAGCUUUUAAGUCUUUUUUUUUUUCUCUUCCACCCCCAUACUUAAUGACAUAGAAUGUAAUGAGUAGUGCGUGCAGAAAGCUGGCGUGGUAACUGUGUGUUACAUACCUGUUGAGGGUGUUCUCCUGCAGAUAGAGCGAAAAAGUGACAGAGAGUGAGAGAGAGAAAGAGAUUGUGAGAAAGAAAUGAAGAGAAAGAGCAAAACAAAGUGUUGUAAAGUUUAAAUUUCCUAAUUGGCCCGAUGGUGUAUGUUCUACUGCACGUUUUGAGAUAGAACAUGUAAACCUUUAGUUAUCAAAUAAAAGUAAGUGUGUGUGUGUGUGUGUGUGUGUGUGUGUGUGUGUGUGUGUGUGUGUGUGUGUGUGUGUGUAAAUGUGAGCAUGCAUGUAUACGUGUUUUUGGCCUUUGGGUCUUCCUGUGAGUCACUCCCAUGAGAUAAACCCAGUAAAGCUGUCCUAGUCCUCUCUAAUUCCUCAUUAGCUCACGGCAGGCUGUCUCAGGGGGAUUUGCACUGCCUGUGGUGUGUGUGUAUGCGUUAGUUCAGGCUCACUAGAUCUGAACGUGAAACACUAUGGGGCUUCUUAGUGGGAGGCUGCGGCAGGCCAGGUGUGUGUUCACUGCCAGGUGUGUGUAUAUGCCAGGUUCAGGAGCAGGGGAUAAGUAUGUCAGCACAACAGUGUGUUAAGUAGCAUUCAAUUUGGGAUUAUGCGCAGAAAGGAAGAGACAGUGCGAGAGAGAGAGAGAGAGAGAGAGAGCUCUUUGAAUCAGUGCUUCUUCAGUUUAUCAGUUGAAUUAAUAUACAACCCCAAUACCAAAAAAGUUGGGACGUUGUGUAAAAUGUAAAUAAAAACAGAAUGCAAUGAUUUGCAAAUCUCAUAAACUCACGUUAUUCACAAUAGAACGUCAAAAACAUAUCAAAUGUUUAAUUUGAGUAAAUGUACCAUUUUAAGAUAAAAAAAAAAGUAAUGUUGAAUUUGAUGGUCGCAAAAUGUCUCAAAAAAGUUGGGACGGUGCAACAAAAGGCUGGAAAAGUAAGUGUUACUAAAAAGAAACAGCUGGAGGUUAAUUGGAAAUAGGUCAGUAAGAUGAUUGGGUGUAAAAAGAGUAUCUUUUUAUAGAGGCAGAGUCUUUCAGAAGUAAAGAUGGGCAGAGGUUCAUUAACGAAUGUGAAAAACUGCAUCUACAAAUUGUGGAACAAUUUCAGAAUAAUGUUCCUCAAUGUAAAAUUGAGAAAGACUAUGAAUAUCUCAUCAUCUACAAUACCUAAUAUCGUCAAAAGAUUCAGAGAUUCUUGAGAAAUCUCUGUGCACAAGGGACAAGGGUGAAAAUCAGUAUUGCGUUGCCCGUGAUCUUCGGGCCCUCAGGUGGCACUGGAUUAAAAAACAGGCAUGAUUCUGUAAUGGAAAUCAGUGAAAUCAGUGCAGAAACACCUCCAGAACUCAUUGUCUGUGAACACAGUUCGCCGUGCCAUCCACAAAUGCUGCUUAAAGCUCCAUCAUGCAAAGAAGAAGCCAUAUGUGAACAUGAUCCAGAAAUGCCGCCGUCUUCUCUCGGCCAAAGCUCAUUUAAAAUGGACUGGGGAAAAGUGGAAAACUGUUCUGUGAUCAGACGAAUGGAAGUUUUAAAUACUUUUUGAAAAACCAUAGACACUAAACUAAAGAGGACUAAAGAGGAGAGGGACCAUCCGGCUUCUUAUCAGUGCUCAGUUCAAAAGCCUGCGUCUCUGAUGGUAUGGGAGUGCAUUAGUGCCGAUGGAGUUGGCAGCUUGAAUACUGAGAAAUGCACCAUCAAUUCUGAAAGGUAUAUACAGGUUUUAUAGCAACAUCCAGAUGCUUCCAUCCAGAUUCCAUCCCAUCUUUACUUCUGAAAGACUCUGCCUCUCUAAGAUACUCUUUUUAUACCCAAUCAUGUUACUGACCUGUUGCCAGUUAACGUAAUUGGUCGCAAAAUGUUCCUAAUAAAUAAAUAAAUAAAUAAUAAUGAUGAUGAUAAUGAUGAUGAUUAUAACAUCACACUUUAUAUGACACAGUAAAGAUGUAUAAAUAUAUAAGCAGCAGAAUGGAAAUGGCAUCUUUUAUGGUCUGGAAAUAGAUGGUACAUAUCAACUUUGCAGUAAGAAUAAGGCAUACAGUCUUCGAUCAGACGAGCGCAACACAGUUUCAGCGAUGUGUUAUAACAUUGCCCUCCCGCGACCGUCCCCAUGACUGCUCUGCACCUUGAGGCUUUUUAAAUAGGACAAAGGAGAAGGUGAGAGGAGCCACACUUGUGUAGUCUUGCAGCUGUUUAUUUGAUAUUACCCUGUUUAUCUUGGGUGUUAAACUUUGUCAGAGUUUGCUUUUCCUGUUGGUUCUUAGCACAGGGCACCAGAUCUGCCUCAUCAGUGUGACCUUUGUGUUUGACCUGUCUCACAACCUCCGACCACAAACACACUCCAGCCUGAAAGACAGUGUGAAUGGGAUCCUGUUCAGAUCUGAUCUGUGAUCUCUAAACAGAUUUAAAAAAAAAUAAAAAUCUUUGUUGUGUUAUUGAACUUUCUUUAAAUUUCUGCAUAUAAUUGUGUCACAUUGUAGCGUUGUGACUCAUUUCAAAGGCAGUAAAUAACUAACUUUCUCAACACUGCUCAGUAGCUCCUACCAGUGGAAUGAUCUGAUACUGCAGCUGGAAAGCAGGUCAGCUGUAUUAUUCCACAGGAUGAGGCAUGAGAAUUGAAGAGUUUCAUUUAAUAACAAUUACUGUAGAACCAAUAAUACACGAUUGUUAUAUUAUUUUGUGUAGUCUAGAAUACGUUUAUCAGGACAAACCAUAUCAUGCAAGUCUCUUUAUUUAUCUCUAUAACCAUAAGCCAGCAGAUGAAAGCAUGAGGCACACUUUGGACAUGAGGUAAAUAGGAACAUAACAGGAACAGAUUUUCCCUCAUCAGAUGUACCUAGCCUUUGUUUGGAAAAGUGGGCCCUUGUAUGAAAUUGUAGCGCCCCCCCCCCCCCCCCCUUCUUUUUUCCAGUUGCUGUCUCUCAUCUUUCGUUUGCUUUGUCAGACCUGUGCCAGUGUUUCCUGAUAGUUGAGUAAUUACUUGUAAGAGAUAGCACUCCUACAGUGCUGUACUCCUAAUCGCACCGGCUGGUCUCCACUGCAGAUCAUUCGGAGGAUAAACAUGCUAGUUUAACAGCGCCAUAAACACCACUUUCGUCUGUAUCUAUGUGCGUGUGAUGUCCUGCACUAGCCCCCAUUUGUAUGCACAACAAAUGAGUCCAAGCACAGCCAUGUUCAGCUUUUAAAAGAUGACCAACUGUUACAUAGCAGGCUCACAGCUGAUGAUAGGAUGAUCACUGACAAUUUAGUGUGUUUGUUUCUUCUUCUCAGCAUCUCUCUUUUGCAGGGCAAACGCUGCUAGUGAAAUACGUUUGGCAUGCCACAAGUGUUUUGCGCUUCAAGCUACAGUUGCACACACAACUGAAACGUAUAUUGCUUUGAAAGCCUGACAUACAUUUCUGACAGUAAUUGACUGGAAUGUUCAUGUCACACCAGUGCACCCACAGAGACAGUUACUCGUUCCCUGUUACUUGUCUAACAUCCUCUCAUCUCACACAGGCUCCUCAUUGUAAUCCCCAAAACACACACACACACACACACACACACAAUUACACACACACUCCCAACAGUUAGCUAGCCCACUUUUGAACAGACAACCCCCCUCUCCCGGUUGCUUAUGAAGUCUGAAUCAGGGUUCAGUGUCUCAUCCACCAGCGGGGAUCUAAAUAUUCCAUUACAGUAUGUGUUUUCAUGCAAUUGUCCAAAAACAGGACGAAGAGCCGUAAACGAUAUACCAGUAGAGGCAUCAUAUAAUGUAGCAGACCUCCAUACAGUUCUCUGUCUCCUUCUCACUUACAUGUGUUCUCUCUCUCUCUCUCUCUCUCUCUCUCUCUCUCUCUCUCUCUCGCUCUCUCUCACACCUCACUUACAGACAAUAAUCUCUCAGGACAUCCCUUGAUAUCCCAUAAGAACCCCACCCAGGAGGAAGAGUAACCCGAGAGCCCGUUUCUCAGGCUGUGUGUAUGUGUCUUCAGUGAAACUGUAGUAAUGUGAGACUGGCAAGUGAGGAAGCAGCACUGUAAACAGUACACAGUCAUUAACAGUGUGAAACCAGACACUGACAGUGCUGAAGCUGGUCAGUUCCCCAGCAUCAUCAGAGUGCAUUGUCCUCAUUGUCCAUCACUGUUCAGUGUCUGGUCAUGGGGGAGCCCUGCAACCACCCACCCAGACUGUUCACCGUGGGAAGCAGCACAUCAAGAAGAAUUGUGCAUGUUUGGCUCAGGUGGGAACUGGGGAACAUUCAUAGACGUAUCUACAUUCUAGUUCUCUGUAAAAGAAGCCCCAUAUCUGAAAAGAAGAAUUAUUACAAAGAAAUAUGUUACAAUUAUUGUCCCUGUUAAUUGCACAUAUAGAUGCAAGGUGAAAAAAUGCUAGCAUGCUAGCAUGUAUAUCAAAGCUGAAAUGCCUUAGAUUAUCUCUAUUAAAUGCAUUUUAGAAGUUAUUAUUGCCAUACAUAGUUUUCAUUUUAUAAUUAUGUCUGUUUCUGCACAUUACUCAGCACACUGGCAUGAGUGCAGAACAGUACAUUCACUAUGCUGAUAAACUGUUCCUGUUUUACACCUGCUGAUUUAUAGAUUAGAUUAAAUCUGGGAAUGGCAUAGAGGAUUACACCACUGCUGCUUUCCAUGGAGCAGAAAAAACACCUUGUCUGCUGCAGCAUGAGGCAGAGCCUGAAGGUCAGGGGGUCUUGUUUACCUGGG
ensembl:lncRNA